GGAAAGGUGGCUGAGCUGGUUUAAGGCGGCACAUUGCUAAUGUGUUGUGCAGGUAACUGCACCGGAGGUUCGAAUCCUCUCCUUUCCG
rnacentral:tRNA from 1 species